UUGAUUUUGACCACAUAUUAAUCAAUUAUAAAAGGACAAAAUGGUAACAUUAUAUAUCUCACAUUAACAAAACUUAAAUAAAAAAAAAGGAAGAAAAAAAAAAGAAGAAAACAAAAUAAAAAGGAAAAAAAAUCUUUUUCUUCCCCACCUCCAACCCAAAAAUUACACGGCUCUUCAGGGUCUUCCCAAAUCUCGCUACCCAUUUAAUCGUCGUGCCCUUCUCGAGCCUCAAGUCUCCAGAGGCAACUCGACUUAUAGAUCAAUUAUCCCGUCGAAACCGCGAAGGAUUUGGGUUGUAGAGUUCUGACAUCGGGCCGGGUCAAGCAAAGAAACCCUGUAUGGCGAAAUGAGAUCCUGAAGAGACUUGAAGAGUGUGAAAACAAACAAAACACCAUCUUCAAACUCCAAGUCGGAGGUGGAGAUUACCCUAUCCACAUGGAGGAGGACUGAGUCCGUCUGAAGGACAAGGAAGUUGAACCGCUUGGAAACGCAUCGGCAACGAAUGAGGGACUUAGUGUCAGAUAUGUUGUUGAAGAUGAGGAUUACAAUUGGGUCGACUAUGCAUUAGAAAUAGUAGAAUUUGGAUUCAUUCGGCUAGUGGGCCAUUUUUUCCUUUGCUCUAAGAAUUGAAUUGAAUGAGGAGAAUCGUAAACUGUAAUUACGAAUCUUCUGCAAUCCAAGUGUUAAUUAAAAAAUCACAUAAAAAAAUCGAGUCGAG
rnacentral:lncRNA from 1 species